rnacentral:rRNA from 1 species
GGUCAAGCGAACAAGGGCGCAGGGCGAAUGCCUUGGCACUGGGAGCCGAUGAAAGACGUGAUAAGCUGCGAUAAGCUUCGGGGAGCUGCAAAUAAGCAUUGAUCCGGAGAUUUCUGAAUGAGGAAACUCACCUGGGUUCAUACUCAGGUACGUUAUACUGAACUUAAAAAUAGGUAUAUCGAGGGAACCGCCUGAACUGAAACAUCUAAGUAGGGCGAGGAAGAGACAUCAAACGAGAUUCCGUAAGUAGUGGCGAGCGAACGCGGAAGAGGGCAAACCGGAAGUAGAAAUACUUCCGGGGUACGGACCGCAUUUAGGACUUAAGUUGUUAACCGAACGGCAUGGGAAGGCCGGUCAGAGAGUGUGAGAACCACGUAGGUGAAAACGACAAGAGCUGAGCGAGUUCCAGAGUACGGCCAGACACGUGAAACCUGGUCGGAAUACGGGGGGACCACCCUCCAACCCUAAAUACUACCCAGUGACCGAUAGCGUAUAGUACUGUGAAGGAAAGGUGAAAAGCACCCCGGGAGGGGAGUGAAAAAGAACCUGAAACCCUGUGCCUACAAGCACCUAGAGCACGUCAAUGUGUGAUAGGGUACUUUUUGUAGAACGGUCCGGCGAGCGAUUGUAUGCAGCAAGGUUAAGGACUUAAGGUCUGGAGCCGAAGCGAAAGCGAGUUUGAAAAGGGCGUUAAGUUGCAUACAAUGGGCCCGAAACCGGGUGACCUACCCAUGGUCAGGUUGAAGUGGAAGUAAAAUUCCAUGGAGGACCGAACCGACCUCCGUUGAAAAGGCGGCGGAUGAACUGUGGGUAGCGGAGAAAUUCCAAUCGAACCCGGAGAUAGCUGGUUCUCCCCGAAAUAGUUUUAGGACUAGCCUCAAGUUAGAUACCUGGAGGUAAAGCACUGAAUAGCCUAGCGGCCGAGAGGUUAGCGAAGCUUAUCAAACUCAGAAUGCCAGAGUAUUGAUGCUUGGGAGUCAGACAGUGUCAGAUAAAUGUCAUUGUCAAAAGGGAAACAGCCCAGAUCUACAGCUAAGGUCCCAAAGUCAGGUUAAGUGGAAAACGAUGUGAAGAUACGUAGACAACCAGGAUGUUGGCUCAGAAGCAGCCACACAUUCAAAGAGUGCGUAAUAGCUCACUGGUCGAGCGUCUUUGCGCGGAGAAUUUAACGGGGCUAAACCUGACACCGAAGCUUAGGCAAUACAGCAAUGUAUUGGGUAGGGGAGCGUUGUAUACGCGGUGAAACAGUAGCGCAAGCGGCUGUGGAGUGUAUAGAAGUGAGAAUGCCGGAAUGAGUAGCGCGAAUGCAGUGAGAAUCUGCAUGGCCGAAAGCCUCAGGUUUCUGGAGGAAGGUUCGUCCGCUCCAGGUUAGUCGGGAGCUAAGGUGAGGCCUAACGGCGUAGCCGAUGCACAGACGGUAGAGAUUCCGUCACCACCAAAAGAGUUAAGCACAGGGACACAUUUGAAGUCUCGGAGCCGGGUGUUGGUUCCGGUAGCGAUCGAGGGAAGUUAGUACCGAAGUCCGGGAUGGAAGAUGGCGAGAAAAGCUGUGUGUAUUUCUGCGGUGCCCGUACCGCAAACCGACACAGGUAGGUAGGAAGAAGAUUCUAAGGCCAACGGGAGAAGGGUUGUUAAGGAACUCGGCAAAUUGACCCCGUAACUUCGGGAGAAGGGGUGCUCCAGAGAUGGAGCCGCAGAGAAUCGGCCCAAGCAACUGUUUACCAAAAACACAGGUUUGUGCUAAAUCGAAAGAUGACGUAUACGAGCUGACGCCUGCCCGGUGCUGGAAGGUUAAGAGGAGAUGUGCAAGCAUUGAAUCGAAGCCCCAGUGAACGGCGGCCGUAACUAUAACGGUCCUAAGGUAGCGAAAUUCCUUGUCAGGUAAGUUCUGACCCGCAUGAAAGGCGUAAUGAUUUGGGCACUGUCUCGACAGCCCGCCCGGCGAAAUUGUAGUACCGGUGAAGAUGCCGGUUACCCGCGACAAGACGGAAAGACCCCAUGGAGCUUUACUGUAGCCUAAUAUUGGGUUUCGAUGUUGCAUGCACAGGAUAGAUGGGACACAGGGAAACAAGUGCUUUGGCAUUUGUGGAGUGGCCGUUGGGAUACCAUCCUUGCGAUAUUGGAAUUCUAACCUGCGCCUUUGAAUCAAGGCGGGGGACAUUGUUAGGUGGGCAGUUUGACUGGGGCGGUCGCCUCCUAAAGAGUAACGGAGGCGUUCAAAGGUUCGCUCAGCUUGAACGGAAAUCAAGCAAAAGAGUGCAAACGCAGAAGCGAGCCUAACUGCGAGACUGACGGGUCGAGCAGUAACGAAAGUUGGAGUUAGUGAUCCGGUGGUAUGUGAGUGGAAAUGCCAUCGCUCAACGGAUAAAAGUUACCCUGGGGAUAACAGGCUGAUCUCCCCCAAGAGUCCACAUCGACGGGGAGGUUUGGCACCUCGAUGUCGGCUCAUCGCAUCCUGGGGCUGUAUUCGGUCCCAAGGGUUUGGCUGUUCGCCAAUUAAAGCGGUACGCGAGCUGGGUUCAGAACGUCGUGAGACAGUUCGGUCCCUAUCUGUCGUGGGCGCAGGAUAUUUGAUGGGAGCUGUUCCUAGUACGAGAGGACCGGAGCGGACGUACCUCUGGCGCACCAGUUGUUCUGCCAAGGGCAUAGCUGGGCAACUAUGUACGGAUCGGAUAAACGCUGAAAGCAUCUAAGCGUGAAGCCGACCCAAAGAUAAGAUAUCCCAUUGUUUCAAACAAGUAAGACCCCUUGAAGACUACAAGGUUGAUAGGCACGAUGUGUAAGUGGAGCGAUCCAUUCAGCAAGCGUGUACUAAUAGGUCGAGGGCUUGACCAC